UAGGGAAUCUUCCACAANGGGCGAAAGCCUGAUGGAGCAACGCCGCGUGUGUGAUGAAGGGUUUCGGCUCGUAAACACUGUUGUAAGAGAAGAAUGACAUUGAGAGUAACUGUUCAAUGUGUGACGGUAUCUUACCAGAAAGGAACGGCUAAAUACGUGUCAG
rnacentral:rRNA from 1 species